UGCCUUUAUUUAUACAAGCAUCAACUACAUAUUCCACCUCAUGUGCUUUCCUAAUUAUCUGUAUAGCACAAUCUUCAUUCAGUCUCUUGAACUUAUUGUGUGGCUCUUCUACGACAACCUUCAGGAAAGGUUGCAUGCUCUCAAAUUCCGUUUGAAUUACUUGAAGUUGAUUCUUGAGGAAAGCAAGUGAAUCGGAAUAACGGCCUUGGAAAUCCUUCAGGUUUUUCAAUAGAAAAUCGACAUAGCCUAGUCCAUGAACCCUUGGCAAGUUAGAUUGAAAUGCCUUUUGCAUGACAAGGUAGACCAUCGCCUUGAUAGGCUCAAUGUUUCUUGGAAGAUCAAAACCAAGUGCUCGGUUCAUAUCAUCCAAUACUGUGUCUUCCUUCUCCCCCUUAAUAUCAUAUAAUGAGUAAAU